GGACUACUGGGGUAUCUAAUCCUGUUUGCUCCCCACGCUUUCGCGUCUCAGCGUCAGUCACCGUCCAGAAGGCCGCCUUCGCCACCGGUGUUCUUCCAGAUAUCUACGCAUUUCACCGCUACACCUGGAAUUCCACCUUCCUCUCCGGGACUCUAGUCUCGCAGUUUCCAUCGCACUUCCCGGGGUAAGCCCGGGGCUUUCACGACAGACAUACGAAACCGCCUACACGCCCUUUACGCCCAGUAAUUCCGAGCAACGCUUGCACCCUCCGUAUUACCGCGGCUGCUGGCAC
rnacentral:rRNA from 1 species